UUUUGUUUGGUUUUGACUUAGAAAAUAUUUACUGGGUUUUGUUUUACAGGUCUCUCCUAGAUUAAAAAUCACUCAGUUCUGGUAUUUCCUCUCUGCAGGAGUACUUGUUGUCCUGAAACAAUUGAUUUCCUGAUUUUCUUUCUGUAUCCUAAAAAUUGCAGAUAGACUCAGAACAUGUUAAUAAACAGUCAGAAUCUGUUCACAGGAAUGAUGCUUUGUCCAAUAAGGAACCUCAAGGACUUGAAUGGCAAUAAAAUGAUCUUACCAGGACUGACAUGGAAAUGCAGCAGCACUCCAAAGGUGUUUGAUAUGAAACUAUCACUCUGCUAUCUAAUUAUUAAUUUCAUAUUUUAAUACCUAAAAGUCUUGGUCACAGCCCUGUUUUACCAAGUUUUGUAUAUCUGCUCUUAAGAACCUUUCUUGCUGGCUGGCAGAAGAACAAAAGGCAACGAGGAGACAAUAGCAGUCAGAUGUAUUACUAUGGGACAUUUGGAACUAGAUGAUCUUAAGGUCCUUUCCAACCCUUACUAUUCUAUGAUUCUAUGAUUUAAACUCCAAACUGGAAGCACUGUCACUCAGAAACAGUAUUAUUAACAAGCCAACCUUCUUGAGGGCUUCAUAUUGACCUGAGAACAAUAUAGUUUGAGAUGCCUAAAUAAUUUUGAAAUGGAAGCAUGAUUCCCAAACUACUUUCCAGAUAGAAAAGAGAUCAAGACAUUUUAUUGUAGCCUGUGAUCCCAGUUUUAAAUACUAACAUGAGGAAAAAGGCUUUUGCCUUCGCUUGAAAAAGGCAAAUGGAGUUUUCCUUGUGGGCACACAUACGUUUUGAGAUGCUCCAAGAAGGUGCAGUUUCUUCUUUUGAAAAGCCGUGAUAUCUUCAUGGAACUGAUAAUUGGUUUUUCUUUCUUCAGGGGAAGAAUACUCCAUCCCGAAAGCCCAGGCCAGUCUUCAUCCGGUGAAAUACACAGUAGUUAUUGCUUAUCUUUGGGUGAAUUACUGCUCAUUACUUCAGCACCUUGGCUGUCUUUCUACUUGUAUCAGUUUCCUCUGGCGCAGAAUCAUAUAUCCUGAUGAUAUGCAGAACCACAUCAUCCUUCGUGCACCCAUCUGUUCCAUACGGUGAUGAGCAAGAAUGUUUCCCUCUCAGAGCCAUUAACCAAUUGCUUCUCAAGCACUAGAAAUCUGCUUCAGGGGAGAGACAGAAGGAAGGAAGAGUUUGUGUCUGCCCUUAAGGGAUGGAAGAGAAGUUUACUUCUGUUAAAGUGAUGCUGAAACAGCAUCCCUUCCUAACCAUUGUGUUCCCCCACCUCAGGCUCCGUGCUCCAUCAUUCGUUUCUCCAGCCCAGUCAGGAUGUCAUUUUGUUGUCUCCUACUCAGUUUGAUUUUAUUCACCCAUCUCAACCCAAGUUCAGAGCUCCUCAGCCUUUCCUUCUAGUGAAAGGAAGGGAAAGCUGGGGUCCUUUCUCUCCUUACGUGUAUUUUUCCUUGGCAGAGUAACUAAAGCUAGCUAAAAGACUAAAGAUGCAGCUAAAUCUGAUCUUCGCUCUAUUUUUCUCCCAAUAUCCUCAGUUUCUGCCUUAGCCCAUUUCUUUUCCUCUUCACACACAUGCUCCAUGUCCCUCCCAUGCACCCCUUGCUCACUGCUCUCUGUUAGUUGCUGCCUCCUUUUCCCACCACAUGCCAUGGAACCAUCCGGCCUUAACAAGUGGCCAGUGAUGGAUCUUAUGUUUUUUAAACUGGGGAAAAAGGAGGAUUUUCCCUGUAUACAUAAGGAUUACUGCACAGCUACAGUGCAUUUCCAUGUGCUGGUGAUGGGCUGGUGCUGCUCUCAAAGUUAUCCUCUAGGUAUUAAUGGAGACUCUAAUCCUUUCUAAAAGGUAUUUGAAAAGAAUCUUAUCUGCUCUUACCAACUUGUAUGUAAAACUCAAUAAAGGGAUGAGAUGACAAACACAAUUGUGAUUUCUACUAUAUUUUUAAAACACUUUCCUCAGGGUCUCAGUUACUUUUACGUUAAUGAGUCAAUGCAUGACACAGUGUAAAGAUACCUGAACUAUCAACUUGCUCUGUUUUUUCCCAUUCCAACCUAACCCAGGAAGAUGUCCUUCACUUACUAGUUAGGUAUUUCUACAUUAUCCUGAAAUGCAGACACACCC
rnacentral:lncRNA from 1 species